rnacentral:rRNA from 1 species
CUACGGGAGGCAGCAGUGGGGAAUAUUGCACAAUGGGGGAAACCCUGAUGCAGCCAUGCCGCGUGUGUGAAGAAGGCCUUCGGGUUGUAAAGCACUUUCAGUUGUGAGGAAAGGUUGAUGGUUAAUACCCAUCAGCUGUGACGUUAGCAACAGAAGAAGCACCGGCUAACUCCGUGCCAGCAGCCGCGGUAAUACGGAGGGUGCGAGCGUUAAUCGGAAUUACUGGGCGUAAAGCGCACGCAGGCGGUCAUAUAAGCUAGAGGUGAAAGCCCCGCGCUCAACGUGGGAAUUGCCUUUAGAACUGUAUGACUAGAGUCUUGGAGAGGGGAGUGGAAUUCCAGGUGUAGCGGUGAAAUGCGUAGAUAUCUGGAGGAACAUCAGUGGCGAAGGCGGCUCCCUGGCCAAAGACUGACGCUCAUGUGCGAAAGUGUGGGUAGCGAACAGGAUUAGAUACCCUGGUAGUCCACACCGUAAACGCUGUCUACUAGCUGUGUGUGUAUUUAAUACGUGCGUAGCGAAGCUAACGCGCUAAGUAGACCGCCUGGGGAGUACGGCCGCAAGGUUAAAACUCAAAUGAAUUGACGG